GCCACGUGCAAACACAAUCAAUACACUCCCCCAGGAGAGGAGAAGGGGAGAGACCAGUGAAAGAGAAUUGGGACCCUCUUAAAAAUUAUCAAGUUGCCCCACCAAUCAGAGCUAUUGAAACAGGGGGGGAUAUUUGUGAAGGUAAAAGACUUUCUCAUGAAUCUUUUCCAAAGGCAAAUAGGGAGGGAGGGGUAGCAAAGCCACAGAUGGACAAUGGCCUGGCUGUGCCUUGCCUUUGGGGCAGCAGCAAGUGUGGAUGGAUGAGGAGCCUUCAAAAGGAGGUCAUCAAACAGCAGCAGGACCAGCUUUGCAGCAAGAGAUGUUUAAGAAAUUGUGUCUCUGAAAUUUGUGUUGCACCUCCGGGGGGAAGAGAUUCCUGCUGGGGCAUUAUUGUUUCAGUUUCUAGGGGAGAAAAAAGAAAAAAGAAAAGAAAAAAGAAAGGGUAUAACAAGACCUUGAAAUUGAAGCUCAGCAAAAUCUGACUAGAAAUGAGGAGAUGUUAUCACCCAGGGCAUUAACCAUAGCAACAAUCUGCUGAGGGAUUUGAGGACCCUCCAGCACAGUGGAGGCCAGGCUUCUUCUCAUUUUGUGCCCACCCUGGGUCCAGUCUGGUGUCUUUUUUUACAAGAAAUUCUCAUCAUCUGAAUGUUGAUGCCUCGGUGACAGGAAAAUUGCGAUCCCCUGAGACAGCCCAGCUUUACUGCUGCAUCUUCACAUCCCUCUUGGGAUGGCCUUGCUGACCCCCUCCCCGAGGUAUGAGGAUGGAUAAAAGCAGAGGCCUUUGCUAAGCUCUUAGCCUAUGAGGGAAGCUUGUAGUAAUGGAUGCUUUCCCUUCCUCACCUUCCCACCUGGUCUCUCCACUCUGUGGCAGCCCCAGAAGCACGAAACUGCUGGUCACCAACAGCCAGGGUGAGGCUGAUACCUGUAUCAAAGGGCAGCAGCAAAUCCUGGUCCUCCUCUCUCAACACAGGCACGUGGGAAGAGAUAUUCAUUCCCCACUGGGAGGAAGUCAAGCUCUAGAGCCUGGUCAGCAGUGCUGGGGCAGAGGAGAGCGAUGGUGAUGCUAAGAAGGGUCAGAAAGUCCCUGGAUCAGCAGGGUUUGCAGAGUGCUAGUGCCAGGUCUCAGAGGCCACAGCUUCCUUGGCCUGCCUCACCAGCUCCCCACCCUCUGUCACACCCUGACUCGGUGCCUCAGUCCUCUCUUGUCCCCUGCUUAUUCAGAAGGACCCACCUGCCCUGGAGCCCGGGUUACACCAGCUGAGGAGAGGACUCUCCAUGCUACUGCAGGCUCAGGAAAUUUGGGAAGCAGAAAAAAAGCCUCUAACAGCCAGUGGGAAAUUGCAAGAUGAGGUGGAAAGUCCAGUUGUGUUUCAAACUCAGCUUUUCAGUUUGCGUCUCAAAGCCUUUCUUUUGAAACUGGAAACGGGAAGUUUUCCUGCUUUCAUCUCAGUUUGCUGCUGAGGGCGGAAAGCACUGCUGAAAUUCCGAGACACUUCAAAUGGAAAAGGACCAAGAUAGAAGGAGGAAUGAAACUCAUCAGAAAUAAAGAAACUUCUCCGAGGCCAGCA